rnacentral:misc_RNA from 1 species
CCCGGAACCAAGAUGCCUGCUGCCGA